rnacentral:rRNA from 1 species
AUUGAACGCUGGCGGCAUGCCUAACACAUGCAAGUCGAACGGUAACAGGCCCUUCGGGGUGCUGACGAGUGGCGGAUGGGUGAGUAAUACUUAGGAAUCUACCCUGUAGUGGGGGACAACCCGGGGAAACUCGGGCUAAUACCGCAUACGCUCUACGGAGGAAAGCGGGGGACCGCAAGGCCUCGCGCUAUUGGAUGAGCCUAAGCCCGAUUAGCUAGUUGGUGGGGUAAUAGCCUACCAAGGCAAUGAUCGGUAGCUGGUCUGAGAGGACGACCAGCCACACUGGGACUGAGACACGGCCCAGACUCCUACGGGAGGCAGCAGUGGGGAAUAUUGGACAAUGGGCGAAAGCCUGAUCCAGCGAUGCCGCGUGUGUGAAGAAGGCCUGCGGGGUUUG